rnacentral:rRNA from 1 species
UGACCUCAAAUCAGGUAGGAUUACCCGCUGAACUUAAGCAUAUCAAUAAGCGGAGGAAAAGAAACUAACAAGGAUUCCCCUAGUAACUGCGAGUGAAGCGGGAAAAGCUCAAAUUUAAAAUCUGGCAGCCUUUGGCUGUCCGAGUUGUAAUCUAGAGAAGUGCUAUCCGCGCUGGACCGUGUACAAGUCUCCUGGAAUGGAGCGUCAUAGAGGGUGAGAAUCCCGUCUUUGACACGGACUGCCAGGGCUUUGUGAUGUGCUCUCGAAGAGUCGAGUUGUUUGGGAAUGCAGCUCAAAAUGGGUGGUAAAUUCCAUCUAAAGCUAAAUAUUGGCGAGAGACCGAUAGCGAACAAGUACCGUGAGGGAAAGAUGAAAAGAACUUUGGAAAGAGAGUUAAACAGUACGUGAAAUUGCUGAAAGGGAAACGCUUGAAGUCAGUCGCGUUGUCCAGGGAUCAACCUUGCUUUUGCUUGGUGCACUUUCUGGUUGACGGGUCAGCAUCAAUUUUGACCAUUGGAAAAAGAUUAGGGGAAUGUGACAUCUUAGGAUGUGUUAUAGCCCUUGGUUGCAUACAAUGGUUGGGAUUGAGGAACUCAGCACKCCGCAAGGCCGGGUUUUAACCA